UACGAAGGGUGCAAGCGUUACUCGGAAUUACUGGGCGUAAAGGGCUCGUAGGCGGCCAACUAAGUCAGACGUGAAAUCCCUCGGCUUAACCGGGGAACUGCGUCUGAUACUGGAUGGCUUGAGUUUGGGAGAGGGAUGCGGAAUUCCAGGUGUAGCGGUGAAAUGCGUAGAUAUCUGGAGGAACACCGGUGGCGAAGGCGGCAUCCUGGACCAACACUGACGCUGAGGAGCGAAAGCCAGGGGAGCAAACGGG
rnacentral:rRNA from 1 species